rnacentral:rRNA from 1 species
AUUGAACGCUGGCGGCAGGCCUAACACAUGCAAGUCGAGCGAGCGGCGGACGGGUGAGUAAUGUCUGGGAAACUGCCUGAUGGAGGGGGAUAACUACUGGAAACGGUAGCUAAUACCGCAUACCAUCAGAUGUGCCCAGAUGGGAUUAGCUAGUUGGUGGGGUAAAGGCCUACCAAGGCGACGAUCUGUAGCGGGUCUGAGAGGAUGGUCCGGCCACACGGGACUGAGACAAGGCCCCGACUCCUACGGUGGGCAGCAGUGGGGAAUAUUUGGCAAUGGGGCGAACCCUGAUCCAGCCAUGCCGCGUGUGUGAAGAAGGCCUUAUGGUUGUAAAGCACUUUAAGCGAGGAGGCGUUCUCGCACAAAAGUACCGGCUAACUCUGUGCCAGCAGCCGCGGUAAUUC